GCCGUACGUCCAUUACCGACCAUGCUCUGGAA
rnacentral:scRNA from 1 species